UACGUAGGGUGCGAGCGUUGUCCGGAAUUACUGGGCGUAAAAAGCUCGUAGGUGGUUUGUCGCGUUGUCCGUGAAAACUCACAGCUUAACUGUGGGCGUGCGGGCGAUACGGGCAGACUGGAGUACUGCAGGGGAGACUGGAAUUCCUGGUGUAGCGGUGGAAUGCGCAGAUAUCAGGAGGAACACCGGUGGCGAAGGCGGGUCUCUGGGCAGUAACUGACGCUGAGGAGCGAAAGCGUGGGGAGCGAACAGG
rnacentral:rRNA from 1 species